rnacentral:rRNA from 1 species
GAUGAACGCUAGCGGCAGGCUUAAUACAUGCAAGUCAAGGGGGUAGCAAUACAACCGGCGCACGGGUGAGUAACGCGUACACAACAUACCAUAUACUGGGGUAUAGCUUUGGGAAACUGAAGGUAAUCCCCCAUAGCAUUGCGAGAGGGCAUCUGAUUGCAAUUAAAGUUUCGACGGUAUAUGAUUGGUGUGCGUUUGAUUAGCUUGUUGGUGGGGUAACGGCCUACCAAGGCGACGAUCAAUAGCUGGCGUGAGAGCGCGACCAGCCACACUGGAACUGAGACACGGUCCAGACUCCUACGGGAGGCAGCAGUAGGGAAUAUUGGACAAUGGGCGAAAGCCUGAUCCAGCCAUGCCGCGUGAUAGAUGAAGGCCCUCUGGGUUGUAAAUAUCUUUUAUCUGGGAAGAAACCCCUCGUUUCUACGAGGCUUGACGGUACCAGAGGAAUAAGCACCGGCUAACUCCGUG